AGUAAACAACCGCAUGGUAACUAAGCAGCGAUACUGAUUUAUUUGGGAAGUAACUAAGUUAGCUAGUAUAUGUUACGGGUAUUAAAAUAUCUCCUCAACAGUAAGUUUACUCUUAAGCUAUGGAGAGUGACGACACAAAGGUCAUGAGUCGGCGACAGAGGGAGCUUCCUCCUCUUCAGCAGCCACCACGUGGACCACGUGCCCUACCCCCAUUGC